UGGGGAAUUUUGGACAAUGGGCGAAAGCCUGAUCCAGCAAUGCCGCGUGUGAAGAAGGCCUUCGGGUUGUAAAGCACUUUUGUCCGGAAAGAAAUCCUUGGCUCUAAUACAGUCGGGGGAUGACGGUACCGGAAGAAUAAGCACCGGCUAACUACGUGCCAGCAGCCGCGGUAAUACGUAGGGUGCAAGCGUUAAUCGGAAUUACUGGGCGUAAAGCGUGCGCAGGCGGUUUGCUAAGACCGAUGUGAAAUCCCCGGGCUCAACCUGGGAACUGCAUUGGUGACUGGCAGGCUAGAGUAUGGCAGAGGGGGGUAGAAUUCCACGUGUAGCAGUGAAAUGCGUAGAGAUGUGGAGGAAUACCGAUGGCGAAGGCAGCCCCCUGGGCCAAUACUGACGCUCAUGCACGAAAGCGUGGGGAGCAAACAGGAUUAGAUACCCUGGUAGUCCACGCCCUAAAACGAUGUCAACUAGUUGUUGGGGAUUCAUUUCCUUAGUAACGUAGCUAACGCGUGAAGUUGACCGCCUGGGGAGUACGGUCGCAAGAUU
rnacentral:rRNA from 1 species